AUAAAGCUGGCACGUGCUCUCGCAAAGGAUUUUGUUCUGCUUAAACGGCCCCCCAGAACAUUUGUUUGGUCACCCGUCCCUCUAAAGCAAAAUAAGGGAAAGAAAGGAAAGAAAAGGCUGAAAACUGCUCGUUUGACGCCUCCAAAAGCUCGAGUGGAAGUUUAACUAACUUCAAGGGAAAGCCUGAGAACACUGCAUCCCCAGUCGUUUGAGGACUUUAUACCUCGCAAGGCACCAGAGCUGGAUUCUAGAGCAAAGGGCAGCAGCGCUCAUUCUAGAGGUUAUAUCAUAGAUGGUGUAACAUUACCUUCUGCCCACUGGGAUCUUAUCAACCCUCUGUUCCUGGUCUAUUUUGAGACCCAUCUGAGCCUGCUACCUGGGACAUGGGUAGUGUUAACAAAUCAACGUCCUGCUGACAAGAGGUGAACGGAGUCUCAUCUGGAAAGAACAGGGCAAGAGAUCAGUAGGCAGUUGGAUUUAUGCUUCAGAGCAUUGCUUCUUUGCAUGAAACUUAGAGGUGCCUUGUUAAACACUUAGAGAGCUCAUCCAAGGCACCGACCGGGUCCUCAUUCAACAGUGACGCCAUCUGCUUGCAGGCUUGCCGUGAUAAUCCAAGAGUAAAGUCCCUUCGAAAAGCACCCCGAGGAAGAAAGAAUUGUCAACACAUCUCUUUUAAGGUACGGUUGGUUCAGUCAGAAUGGCUAAGAUCAAAAGUUCAGGUGACAGCAGAUGCUGGAGAGAAUGUGGAGAAAGAGCAACACUCC